rnacentral:rRNA from 1 species
UACGUAGGGGGCUAGCGUUGUCCGGAAUCAUUGGGCGUAAAGCGCGCGUAGGCGGCCCGGUAAGUCCGCUGUAAAAGUCAAAGGCUCAACCUUUGAAUGUCAGUGGAUACUGCCGGGCUAGAGUCCGGAAGAGGCGAGUGGAAUUCCUGGUGUAGCGGUGGAAUGCGCAGAUAUCAGGAGGAACACCGGUGGCGAAGGCGGGUCUCUGGGCAGUAACUGACGCUGAGGAGCGAAAGCGUGGGGAGCGAACAGG